AAGUGGACAAGUUCUGUAUGUUCUCUUUAUUAAAUAUACUUGAGAUACUAUUUUAUACUUAUUGUUUUUUUCUAAAGGUCAACUACCAUCUUCAGCAGAUUAAGACUUCCUUGAAUAGUAUGCAAGAAAAUUAUGAAGAUUCCUUCAAAGCAUGAUUUCCGUGGUGACUGCAGAAGCAGGACAGUGCCUGUGGGACAUGGAUUUAGAAACUCCAAAGUGGUGCAAAGAACGUCUGACAAGCCUGAGCAACUGAAGAGUUGAGGCAGCCGCUUACGGAACCGCAAUGUGGGUAACACCACAGUCUGAUGAAGAACAGAGAAACUCUCAUUUGUUUUCAACUAAUGAGCUAAAGAAGCUGAACUAUCAAUUAUGGAAAUAUUACAUAUGAAUGAUAACUGUUAUUGCUCCCUGUCUAAUAAAAUAGUGAUUUUGCUGGUGGACAACUCCAGAAUUAAUCCAGCUGUCUUCAGUGUUUUAGAUCCCUUGGUGUGCCGAGUUUUUCAUUGCCAAACAGUUGAAUACCACAAACAUCGUAGGUGA
rnacentral:lncRNA from 1 species